AACGAACGCUGGCGGCAUGCCUAACACAUGCAAGUCGAACGAGACCUUCGGGUCUAGUGGCGCACGGGUGCGUAACGCGUGGGAAUCUGCCCUUCGGUUGGGAAUAACUGAGAGAAAUUUCAGCUAAUACCUUAUAAUGUCUUCGGACCAAAGAUUUAUCGCCGAGGGAUGAGCCCGCGUAGGAUUAGGUAGUUGGUGGGGUAAUGGCCUACCAAGCCGACGAUCCUUAGCUGGUCUGAGAGGAUGAUCAGCCACACUGGGACUGAGACACGGCCCAGACUCCUACGGGAGGCAGCAGUGGGGAAUAUUGGACAAUGGGCGAAAGCCUGAUCCAGCAAUGCCGCGUGAGUGAUGAAGGCCUUAGGGUUGUAAAGCUCUUUUACCCGGGAUGAUAAUGACAGUACCGGGAGAAUAAGCUCUGGCUAACUCCGUG
rnacentral:rRNA from 1 species